rnacentral:rRNA from 1 species
AUUGAACGCUAGCGGGAUGCUUAACACAUGCAAGUCGAACGAGUGGCGGACGGGUGAGAAAUAUAUCGGAACGUGCCCAGUAGCGGGGGAUCACUACGAGAAAGAGGGGCUAAUCCCGCAUACUAUUGGAGCGGCCGAUAUGGGAUUAGCUAGGUGGUGGGGUAAAGGCUCACCAAGGCAACGAUCCGUAGCUGGUUUGAGAGGACGACCAGCCACACUGGGACGGAGACACGGCCCAGACUCCUACGGGAGGCAGCAGUGGGGAAUAUUGGACAAUGGGGGAAACCCUGAUCCAGCCAUCCCGCGUGUAUGAGAAGGCCUUCGGGUUGUAAAGUACUUUUGGCGGGGAAGCGGUAUCUGCAGAAUAAGCACCGGCUAACUACGUGCCAGCAGCCGCGGUAAUUC